rnacentral:rRNA from 1 species
UACGUAGGUGGCAAGCGUUGUCCGGAAUUAUUGGGCGUAAAGCGCGCGCAGGUGGUUCUUUAAGUCUGAUGUGAAAGCCCACGGCUCAACCGUGGAGGGUCAUUGGAAACUGGGGAACUUGAGUGCAGAAGAGGAAAGUGGAAUUCCAAGUGUAGCGGUGAAAUGCGUAGAGAUUUGGAGGAACACCAGUGGCGAAGGCGACUUUCUGGUCUGUAACUGACACUGAGGCGCGAAAGCGUGGGGAGCGAACCGG